rnacentral:rRNA from 1 species
CCUACGGGUGGCAGCAGUAGGGAAUCUUCCACAAUGGACGAAAGUCUGAUGGAGCAACGCCGCGUGAGGGAUGAAGGGCUUCGGCUCGUAAAGCUCUGUUGGUAGGGAAGAAAGAUAUAGGUAGUAACUGGCCUUUAUUUGACGUUAAUUACUUAGACAGUCCCGGCUAACUACGUGCCAGCAGCCGCGGUAAUACGUAGGUGGCAAGCGUUGUCCGGAUUUAUUGGGCGUAAAGGGAGUGCAGGCGGUUCAAUAAGUCUGAUGUGAAAGCCUUCGGCUCAACCGGAGAAUUGCAUUAGAAACUGGGGAACUUGAGUGCAGAAGAGGAGAGUGGAACUCCAUGUGUAGCGGUGGAAUGCGUAGAUAUAUGGAAGAACACCAGUGGCGAAGGCGGCUCUCUGGUCUGUAACUGACGCUGAGGCUCGAAAGCAUGGGUAGCGAACAGGAUUAGAUACCCUUGUAGUC